rnacentral:rRNA from 1 species
UACGUAGGCAGCGAGCGUUGUUCGGAGUUACUGGGCGUAAAGCGUGCGUAGGCGGUGGUCCAAGUCUGGUGUGAAAUCUCCCGGCUUAACUGGGAGGGUGCGCCGGAAACUGGGCCGCUGGAGUACGGGAGAGGCAAGCGGAAUUCCAGGUGUAGCGGUGAAAUGCGUAGAUAUCUGGAGGAACACCGGUGGCGAAGGCGGCAUCCUGGACCGACACUGACACUGAGGAGCGAAAGCCAGGGGAGCAAACGGG